rnacentral:lncRNA from 1 species
CCCAGCCCAUGAGCACCAGCUCAUUGACCAGAAUUAGCAACAUGGCCCUUCCUAACUAGAAGGGACCAGAAUGGAUAGUCCUUCUAUGUGUCCAGAAGGAGAGAAGGACCAGAUAUGUGUGAUCAUGUCUCCAUUAUGGGAGAAAAGAGAAUUGAAAAAGAAAGAAGAUCCACAUAGUGUCUGAGGAGCUGAGACAAAAGAAAAGAGUUGUUAUGGGGCUCUGAUUAGAAUAUAGAGCAAAUCACAGAGCCUCCUGCUAACAGGUGUGCAGACAAGCGCUAAGAUGAAAUGGGCCAAAUACGAGAGUCAGGAAACUUGUGUGCUGGUUUUACCUGUGACAUAAACCAGCAGUAUGAAUUUGGUCCAAACACGAAAGUGAAGCAGCAAGCAGCCCAUGACAAAUAUGUGCACUGCCAGCUAAUGAAUAUUGGAGAACAUGACACGUUGGAGAGCCCAGUGGGUCUUGAAAGUCUGAGUUCCAGCAAAUUCUCAUGUCUGCAUCGACUGCAGCAAGGUCAAAAGUUGGAAAGCAGGGAUAUUCGAUGCC